GUCGGUGUGGCGGAAUGGUAACGCGUUAGGGGGUCCCAUUUCUGUAACGAGAGAAGGGGCGUUAAGACCUAAGUCAAAGGGGGUUCGAUUCCCUCCUAAGAUG